rnacentral:rRNA from 1 species
AAUAUUGGAGAAUGGGGGCAACCAGGAUCCAACCAUCUGGCGGGCGUGAGGAAGGCCGUCGGAUUGUAAAUCACUUUAAGGUGGGCGGAAGUGCUUUCGGCUAAUACCCUGAAGCUGUGACGUUACGAACAGAAUAAGCACCUGCUGACUCUGUGCCAGCAGCCGCGGUAACACAGAGGGUGCAAGAGUUAAUCGGAAUUACUGGGCGUAAAGCGCGCGUAGGUGGUUCAGUAAGAUGGGUGUGAAAUCCCCGUGCUUAACCUGGGAACUGCUUUCAUAACUGCUGAGCUAGAGUACGGUAGAGGGUAGUGGAAUUUCCUGUGUAGCGGUGAAAUGCGUAGAUAUAGGAAGGAACACCAGUGGCGAAGGCGACUACCUGGACUGAUACUGACACUGAGGUGCGAAAGCGUGGGGAGCAAACA